rnacentral:rRNA from 1 species
GACGGAGACAGAACUGGGCCUGCGCUUCUAGCGCGGCUAAAACGCAUGGUAUUUUGCUUCUUUUGCUUUGGCUCUGCCAAAGGUUUUAAACACCCAAAUUUAUUUUCUCUACAAGCUACUCCAUUUGAAUUUUAAUCUCCAGAACUUUCAUCCCCGGAUCUCUUGGUUCUGGCGGCUAUGAAGAACACAUCGAAAUGCUUUACGUAAUGUGAAUUGCAGGUUUUCGUGAAUCAUCUAAUCUUUGAACGCAUAUUGGGCUCUCUGGCAUUCCAGAAACCAUGCCUGUUUGAGCGUCUUUUCUCUCUCAAGAUCCUCUAGGGGACUUGGUAUUGAGUGAUACUCUGUGUUAACUUGAAAUACUCUAGGCAGAGCUCCCCCUACAAAUCCUCUGGGGCGAAAUAAAGUAUUUGGUUCUACCAACUCUCUAUUUUCCAGACAGACUUCCAGGCAUAGCUCGGCUGAACAACCUUUCUAAGCUUGACCUCACAUCAGGUGUGACUACCCGCUGAACUUAACUGAAUCAAUAAGCUAAUGAAAAGAAACCGACCAACUGA